rnacentral:rRNA from 1 species
UAUUUUAUAUGAGAGUUUGAUCCUGGCUCAGGAUGAACGCCGGCGGUGUGCCUAAUACAUGCAAGUCGUACGCACUGGCCCAACUGAUUGAUGGUGCUUGCACCGGAUUGACGAAGGAUCACCAGCGAGGGGCGGACGCAUGAGUAACACGUAGGACUCCUGCCCCGGAACGGGGCAUCCAUGUUCGAAGCAGAUGCUAAGUCCGCCUAUACACACAAGCUAUAUGUCCUAUGUUUUAAAUGUGGCGUGUGUGACCACACUAGUUGGACGUUGCAGUGUCUUACCUAGU